rnacentral:ncRNA from 1 species
UCUUAUCAAGAGCAGGCGGAGGGACGAGCCCGAUGAAGCCCGGCAACCGAUUCUAAAUGAACACGGUGCUAAUUCUUGCAGCAAUCAUGCUGACAGAUAAGG